AUUGAACGCUGGCGGCAGGCCUAACAAAGGCAGGUCGAGCGGAUGAAGGGAGCUGGCUCCUGGAUUCGGCGGCGGACGGGUGGGUAAUGCCUAGGAAUCUGCCUGUUGGUGGGGGAUAACGUCGGGAAACGGGGGCUAAUACCGCAUAGGUCCUGAGGGGGAAGGGGGGGGAUCUUGGGACCUAAGGCUAUCGGAUGAGCCUAGGUCGGAUUAGCUAGUUGGUGGGGUAAAGGCCUACCAAGGCGACGAUCCGUAACUGGUCUGAGAGGAUGAUCAGUCACACUGGAACUGAGACACGGUCCAGACUCCUACGGGAGGCAGCAGUGGGGAAUAUUGGACAAUGGGCGAAAGCCUGAUCCAGCCAUGCCGCGUGUGUGAAGAAGGUCUUCGGAUUGUAAAGCACUUUAAGUUGGGAGGAAGGGCAGUAAGUUAAUACCUUGCUGUUUUGACGUUACCAACAGAAUAAGCACCGGCUAACUUCGUG
rnacentral:rRNA from 1 species